UACGAAGGGGGCUAGCGUUGUUCGGAAUCACUGGGCGUAAAGCGCGUGUAGGCGGCCUGCUAAGUCUGAUGUGAAAGCCCGAGGCUCACCCUCGGAAGGGCAUUGGAAACUGGCAGACUGGAGUCCCGGAGAGGAGGGUGGAAUUCCUGGUGUAGCGGUGAAAUGCGUAGAUAUCAGGAGGAACACCGGUGGCGAAGGCGGCCCUCUGGACGGUGACUGACGCUGAGACGCGAAAGCGUGGGGAGCAAACAGG
rnacentral:rRNA from 1 species